AAUCCCAAAUUUUGCAGGAUUAGCAAAUCAAUACAAUUUGACAUUUAGAUGAUAAACCAAAACCAUCAGUACAGCUUUUGAAAUAGCAACAGGCUGAAGAAUUGUUUAACAUCGGCGGUUUUCACUCUUGAGUGCCUUCUACUUGUCAAAAUGUUAAUCUGGGUAUCCGAUUCAAGUGCACACUGUACGUGGACUGCACUUAACCUUCAUGUCCAUCUGUACAAAAUUGAGGAAGCUUGUAUGGCACCUUGUGUUAGUCCACUCUGGAGAAGCUAGCUGUUAGCGAGCGUGGCUAAUCUAUGGGUUGGCACAGGCCCAGUGCGUGGCCAUGUGUUCCUGCAGAGAGCACCAUUCCCUCAGGAGCUGCUGUCAGCACAAACUCAGGAAACAGUUAUACUGUUCAUAUUUUUACAAGCUGCCUCUAUGUGCAGCUAAAGUGAAUCAUAAGCUAAUCAUUGCCAGCUGCCCCCGGCCAUGCUCUCACUAGUCUCUCGCUAGCAAGCUACUCAGGCUGGAGCCGGGCCCACCCACUUCUGUCCCGCUGCAGUGAGAGAGCGAGUUGACUGUUGACCUGUGAUUCCUGAAGGUAGAGUUGGAGGGGAUUUUAAGCCUUGAAACAACACAUCACCUUCCAGAUGCUUCCAGGCCGACCUGACGUCUCUGAGCCGCGCUCGGACGUUUACAUCCAGACGGUUUCAACCGCUGCACUGUUUGUGCUGGAAGUCGACCGGUCUGCUGUGCCUCACACUCCAAUCACAAGCAAUCAUGUGUGUUUCCUGGAUUACUAUAUGUAAACUCCUCUCACUCACACACACUCCCACACACAGAGACACACACAAGCACAAAAGCAUGCACGGCUCGAGUAAGAAAGCCAUCAAAUCUCGUUCUGUCAUAUGCCGAUGCUGUAUAUACUCCCAUAAAAGUGUAUAUACACACACAGACACCCAAAGAGCGGACCACAGAGUUAAAAGAAAGUGUGUUUAUGUAACACGAUCACUUUUGUAACAGGGUUUAUGAUGCUUGAUUCCAUCCACUCUUUCUCAAUGUUAUUAAACUGUAAAAGACUGUUUUCCUUCUCUACCUCCCUGGUUUUCGGCACAUUGUUUAGUACAGUACACACUGUGCCUCCUGACGACACUCGGGCUCUGUAACUCUGCUCGGCUGGAUCUUUGGGGAAAUCAUCGGCACUAAUAGGAAACAUGCUGUGCCUCACACACACACACACACACACACACACACACACACA